ACCAAACGCGAUCAAACGGCCAGAUUUAAUCACGAUCAGACAGUCCAGAUUAAACAUGAUAGACGGCCCAGAUCAAAAGCGGACGGAUAUAAAUGACUCCCAUUCGCACCAAACCCUAACCCUAGCCACCAAAACCCCUCGCUGAAGAAGAAGACCUGGCAGCCGCACCGGAACUCUUUUCGACCACCAAAAAAGUAAAAACUUCCUCUUUUUCUCGAAAUUAAAUUUUAAGCACACCCAUGGCCAAGUCGGAGCAAAAAGACCAGCUAAUUGGCCGAAAAAUGCCAGUGAAGCCCGACGACAUCACCGUGGGGAAUUUCACAAAAUGCCUCCGAUGAGGCCCUUCCUGAUUCCCGUUCUGUCUAAUUUUUCCACCGUUGUGAUCACCGUGUCCUUCUCAGGUUGACCAGAGAAAAACACCGAACCGUAAUGUGAGCCGGAGGAGCUGCCGCGCUGGAGAGCCCCACCGCCGGUGAGUUUCAAGUUUUUGUGUUUUUUGGGCCAACCGAGGCUCUUUAAUCUAUUUUCUCACGGAGAUCGAUGCAGAAUCAGCCAAAAAUAGGCGACCCAAGGCAAACCACCGUCGUGGCCAAUGCUAGAGCACGGCGGAGCUAAGUGCUGGAAUUCCAAAAUUGUCCAAGUUGGCCUUCGGACUAAUUUUGAGUUUGUUUGAGACAUUUGUAGGUACUAUUAGUGCAUUUUAAUUUCCAAAGAAAAAUUCAUGGAACUCAAGAAUUGCCUGUAGGCGCAGUC
rnacentral:lncRNA from 1 species